UAAUGAUGAAAUUUAAACUGACAUUGCUGGAAUUACCGUCAGAACUCUGUUGUUGAAAAGGGGUUUUCUGAAC